AGCUCAGCUGUCUUCUGAAAGGAGAGACAGACGGCAAAUCAUGUUCCAGGAGCACGAGGCAUAGCCAGGAGCAUGAACCCAGCUGAGGAGCAGGGCUGAAGGACUGGCAGAAGCUAAGGAGCACUGAGCAGACAAGCAGGAUCAAACCUCAAGGAUUAUCUGCCUCUACAACCUUCCCCCAAACCCUGCUACAUCCUACUAGAGCAGUGGCUCUGAAGCUUCGGUGUACGUAAGGAGCACUUGGGAUACGUAUUUAAUCUACAGAUUGCCAUAUCCUACCCCAGAGACUCUGAACCAGUAGGUUUCUUGGAGCCUGGGAAUCUUCACAUUAGCAAGUGCUCCAGGUCUAGGACCACACUAGGAGAAGCAUUGACCUAAAGGGAACCCAUUGAGCUUUGUACUUCUUAAUGUCAAUGACAAACAAUAGUAAAUGACAAAAAGAUGCCAGUGGGUCUCAUAUCCAAACAGUUCUAAUUUUGGAUUUCUCAGUGUCUUGAGGACCAAUGACAUUCAGAAACACUUCCCAAGUAUCCAUCAUGUGAAAUGCAUUGAACCAAGCAGUGCAAAAUAUACAAAGAUAAGAACAGUCAUGUGCAUAAAUAACUACAAAACCAGGCUGACUUUGAUAGACUCAUCAAGUGCUUAGGCCAGGAAACUUACAGAAGGGAAGGAGUAGUUCUAAAUGCUGGGAUCUGGAAAAGUACUUUGGAAUUGGUGCCAUCUGAGGUGAAGCUGGAAGGAAGGAAAUCAUUGGGACAAGUGGAAAAUCCAUUGGAAUACACAUAUAUAUAGUAAACAGAACAAGCUCCUUUUCAAAAAGCAGUCCCUCAGUGAGCUCAUCUGCUCUCAGGAAUUCAUCCAUUGCUGCUGUGCGGAUGCUUCAAAGUCUAACCACAUGAACCAUCAGUUACCAGCCAUCUACUACCUGAUGAAAGGGAGCAAAAGCGAACACAGGGUGAUUGCUCUUAUGUGUGUCUUCAGAACAAUAAGUUCAAAGAUAAAAAUUUUAUCUUUCUGACCAACAAGAUGGGCUGAACAUCCCAAAGCCUCAUUCUGUCAGUAGAGACAAGAUUUAAAUGGAGGUAACACCCACUAAAGAGCCAUAUACUGAAAAUGGACAAGGGCUAGAAAAAAUAAAAAACAAAAAACCUGCCUUCCUGGUGAUACAUUGCAUCACUCUUGGCACCAAACAUUUUAGGAAUACUUAGUUAUCUUCUAUUGUUUUACAUUUGUAUGUCCGUGAUUUGACAAAUAUUUAUUGAACACUUACUCUGGGCCAGGUAGUAGUCUAGAUGCAGGCAGGCAGCAGUGAAUGUGAAAGACCUUAGAGAGCUUUACGAAUUUAGAGAGAAAAUGCUAACAAUAAACACAAAAAAUAUAAGAUAAAUUAGAGCUAUAUAGGAAGUUAAAAAUAGACUAACGUGAUAGAGCAAUGGGUGGAGGCUGCUCUAGUAAAGGUCGUUGGAGAAUGCCUCUCUUAGGGGAUACUAUUUGAACGGACACCUGAGUAAUGAAGACGCAGAGAUGCAAAGAUUUAGGAAAAGUAUGUUUCAACCCAAAGUGAGAACAUAAGGCUCUGAGAGGUGGGCAAGCUUAGCAUGUCUGAAGAAUGAAAUAAAAGCCAGCGUGUCUGGACAGAGGUGAAUGAGAGGAAAAGCCAGAGAUGAGGCAGCAGAACAAGGCAGAUCUCAGCUCCUGUGGAAUCUGUAGGCUGGGGUUUCUCAUCCUCGGCACUAGUGACAUCUCAUUCUCUGUUGCGGGGGGAUAUUCUGUGCAGUAUAAGAUGUUCAGCAGCAUUCCUGGACUCUACUCACUAGAGGCCAGUAGGUUCUCCCUAGUAGUGACAAGCAAAAUUGUCUUCAGAAGACAUUGCCAAGUGUCCCUGGAGGGGUGGGGGGGGGGCGGUAAAAUAGCCCCCAGUUGAGAACCACUGUUGCAGGCAAAGGUAAGAAAUUUGAAUAUUAUUAGGGGCGAUAGGAAGCUAGUAGAACAUCUUAGGCAUGGAGGGAUAAGAACUGAGU
rnacentral:lncRNA from 1 species